CGGCGACCACCGAGAUCUACACUCUUUCCCUACACGACGCUCUUCCGAUCUGUGGAACCCCGUGUGAAUCUGCCGAGACCACUCGGUAAGGCUAAAUACGACUUGUCACCGAUAGUGCAUCCAGUACCGUGAGGGAAAGGUGAAAAGAACCCCGGUGAGGGGAGUGAAAUAGAACCUGAAAUCAAUGUACCCACAAACAGUCAGAGCGCAAUGCUCGGAGCAAUCCGAGAAGGCGUUAUGGCGUACCUUUUGCAGAAUGAGCCUGCGAGUUAUUGGUGUUGGCGAGCUUAAGUGUUUUAGACACGGAGGCGUAGGGAAACCGAGUUCGAAUAGAGCGUCUAGUCAGCAUCAGUAGACCCGAAACUGCGUGAUCUAGCCAUGGCCAGGGUGAAGUGGUGGUAACACACCAUGGAGGCCCGAACUCAUUGAUGUUGAAAAAUCUCGGGAUGAGCUGUGGUUAGUCCGGUGAAAUGCCAAUCGAACGCAGAGAUAGCUGGUUCUCCCCGAAAUGCAUUGAGGUGCAGCGUUAGGCGGUGAACAUAGGGGGUAGAGCACUGAAUGGGCUAGGGGCCUUACCGGGUUACCGAACUCAACCAAACUCCGAAUACCUAUGUUUCGAGCCUGGCAGUGAGACGGCGAGUGAUAAGAUCCGUCGUCAAAAGGAGAACAAUCCAGAUCGACAGCUAAGGGCCCUAAACGGACGCUAAGUGUGGAACGAUGUGAGAUCGCGUAAACAGCCAGGAGGUUGGCUUGGAAGCAGCCACCCUUUAAAAAGUGCGUAACAGCUUACUGGCCGAAUGUGAUCUUGCGCGGAAAAUGUAAGGGGGCUAAAGCGUCCUCCCGAAGCUUCGGGAUCAUCGUUAGCGAUGAUCGGUAGGGGAGCGUUGAGUGCGCUGUGAAGCUAGAGCGGAAGCACUGGUGGAGCGCACGCAAGUGAGAAUGCAGGCAUGAGUAGUGAUAAGACAGGUGAGAAUCCUGUCCGCCGAAAACCUAAGGUUUCUCCGGCUAUGUUCGUCAGACGGAGGUUAGGCGGACCUAAGGCGAGGCCAGAAGGCGUAGCCGAUGGACAUCUGGUAGACAUUCCAGACCCAGCGAAGAAAUACGGGACACUUCUGAAUGUUCCAUCCCGCACUGUUGGUAGUUGCGGGCUAGGUAAAACGGGGAACUGCGCGCUUCGGCGCAAAGGAACUGGGACUGACAGGGGUCGAGAAAAGCGUAUUUCGAUUAAAAGCUGACCGUACUGUAAACCGACACAGGUAGGUGAGUCGAGGAGACUAAGGCGUUCGAGAGAACUCUCGUUAAGGAACUAGGCAAACGAGCCCCGUAAGUUAGCAAUAAGGGGCGCCACGCAAGUGGCCGCAGCGAAGCAUCCCAGGCGACUGUUUACCAAAAACACAGGUCUCUGCUAAGGUGAAAACCGAAGUAUAGGGGCUGACGCCUGCCCAAUGCCCGUAGGUUAACAGGAGAUGUUAGGCGCAAGCCGAAGCAUUGAAUCGAAGCCCGGGUGAAUGGCGGCCGUAACUCUAACGGUCCUAAGGUAGCGAAAUUCCUUGUCGGCUAAAUACCGACCCGCAUGAAAGGCGUAACGACUUGGGAACUGUCUCAACGAGAAGCUCGAUGAAAAUGUAGCACCCGUGAAGAUGCGGGUUAUGCGCAGUAGGACGGAAAGACCCCGUGGAGCUUUACUACACCUUGUCAUUGUCAACUGGUUGUAGAUGUAGAGCGUAGGUGGGAGCUUCGGCACCAAUGGAACACCACCCUUCUGCAUCUGGUUGACUAACCCGAGCCGUUAUCCGGCUUGGAGACAUUGACAGGCGGGUAGUUUGACUGGGGCGGUCGCCUCCCAAAUAGUAACGGAGGCGCCUAAAGGUGCACUCAGGCUGGUUGGAAAUCAGCCGCUGAGCGUAUAGGUAUAGAGUGCGCUUGACUGUGAGACAAACAGGUCGAGCAGGGACGAAAGUCGAGCUAAGUGACCCUCUGAUGGUGCGUGGGCACGUCAGGGUUCAACGGAUAUAAGCUACCCCGGGGAUAACAGGCUGAUCUUGCCCGAGCGCUCACAGCGACGGCAUGGUUUGGCACCUCGAUGUCGGCUCGUCGCAUCCUGGGGCUGUACAAGGUCCCAAGGGUUCCGGAGUUCACGGAUUAAAGCGGCACGCGAGCUGGGUUCAGAACGGCGUGAGCCAGUUCGGUCCCUAUCCACUGUGCACGGAGGAAAUUUGAGAGGAGUCGCUCUUAGUACGAGAGGACCGGAGUGAACCGACCUCUGGUGUACCAGUUGUUCCGCCAGGAGCAUACGCUGGGUAGCCACGUCGGGCAGGGAUAAGCGCUGAAAGCAUCUAAGCGCCAAGCCCACCUCAAGAUGAGAUUUCCCAUCGAAAGAGUAAGACCCCCGGAAGACUACCGGGUUGA
rnacentral:rRNA from 1 species